rnacentral:misc_RNA from 1 species
UUUCCGUAGGUGAACCUGCGGAAGGAUCAUUAUUGUAUAACCGAGGUGCGAGGGCUGUCGCUGACCCGAAAGGUCGUGCACGCCCGAGUGCCCUCACACACAUCCAUCUCACCCCUAUGUGCACCACCGCGUGGGUCACCCUUUGGCUUGUUCGGAGGGGGGCUUACGUUUUCACACAAACUUUGUAUGCAGUGUAGAAUGUAUCUUUUGUUUUUGCGAUCACGCAAUCAAUACAACUUUCAACAACGGAUCUCUUGGCUCUC